rnacentral:tRNA from 1 species
AUUUAAAUAGUUUAAGAAAUAAAAAUAUUAGUUUGUGGAACUAAAGAUAUAAAAUUUAUUUUAAAUU